GCCCAUUGAGAGCCCAGAUGACUCAUGGGCUCGUGGCCCGUGCAGCGCGGUCGCCGCCGCAAGGUUUAUCUCCUCCGCGAGGCCGCGACCUGACGCCGCCGCCGCCGGCGGCCGCCGCCUCGUCGUCGAUGAGCUCGCCAUGGCGCCCUGCCGAACCCUAUCUACGCCGCCGCGGUAGCAGGGUUCAGAUUCUGCAGGGCCGCAGGCGCGGACUAGGCGAAGAAGGGCCGUCCCCCGUUCAUGGCACUGCCGCGCGAGCGUCCCAUUCCCCACUUUCUCGCCGGUCGCGAUGAGCAGUAGGCCAGAGUCUGAAAUGUGUUCGUCUCAGCCGGCUCAAUCGUUCGGCGGGCGCUGACGUUGAAGUAUAAUGCAGCAACAGGUGGUCCAAGAUUGUAAAAUGCAGAGAAAUCUCUGACGUUGAAAUUUUGCCGCCAUCCUGGAGCAUAAACUGUUUGUCGUGCUUCCUGUUUGAAUAGCACAAAAACAAGCCGAUGAAUUCCAGCCGGUGGCCGUGGAGCUUCGUACGGAACUAUUUCAUUGCCUGAAACAAAAAGAGUGUGCCUCUCUGAUAUCCUUGGGAUGAGCCAGAUGAGAGGAUCAGGCGUGCUUCAUGUAUGCACUACCGAAGGUAUGCUUAUAAGUUAUAACUCCAGCAUUGCAGCUUGGCUCCAAAGAAGUCUGUAAUUUGUAAUGCUACUAGUGUUUUUUGUGGGAAAACAGUAGUGCUGUUUUUGAACUAUUAUUAUUUUCAGUUGCUCACAUGAUUAUUCCUAGUUGGCAGCUUCUUUAGGGAGGGACAGAGGGCAUGUGAUAACUUUACACCUUGGUUUUCCUUAAAACUCCAGAAACGAUAGUAUUAUGUUUUCACUUGGAAAUGAAAGAUCUCAUGUUUGAAAAAUCUGAAGUAUGUCACACAGAUUAGGUGUGUGUUUCUGUGGGGCCCCACACAACAGAACCAUUGGUCAACCAUAGGCAGGUAAUACCAUAAUAGCCACAUAUACUAAUUUCAUCAGUGGGCCCCACAGAUGAUCUGAGGUACUCAACUUGAGGCGCUGUUGGGCAGAUAACAACCGUCCAACUGCUUAACCUGCAUCAAAAAUAGGUGCAGUCAUACAUUAGAGCGGGGCCCAUCCCCCUCUCCCUAAGUUGCUUUACAUUUGAUUCACAGGUAUGCAUAUUUAAGAUGACUGUAUAUAGUUUAGUAGUCAAUAGAUCAAUCGCAGACUUACUUUAAAAUUAGGGACCUAAUGUUUUUUUCUUAAUUUUUGCAAUGUCACCUUAAAUCCAAAAGAACAACAAGUGUAGGGAUAUAGAACUAGAUUUUCCAAUUAAAGAAAAGGAAUCUCGGUAUGUGAUAGUCUGAUAGAUGACCUACUAAAUGCACCUUUAAUGAAAAUGCCAUUGAUUUUCAGUGUAUAUGACAUCUAAAAUAAUUAUUGACUUGAUCCUUGUCUUGUUAGCUUAGUACAGGAGAUAAAUUGAUUGUCUCAAGCUCCCUAUACUUUCUUUGCAAAAUUUGACUGUGUAAUCAUGGUCGAUAGUAACAUAAACUAUGAAGACCAAUGCAUUCUUUUGAAUCAUUCCUUAGCAUUUUUAUCAUGUCUUUUACUUUUGCAUAUGUAACACCCUCGUAGAUUUCUACCUUGACACCCCAAACACCAGCCUACUAUACAAAUAAAAUUCAUCAAGUUUCAUACAGUAAACUUGUUUACUUAAAAUCUUGGAAAUAUAUGCACUAACAUAAUUUUAGCAAAACAAUUAUUUCAUGGAAGUAUUAAGGUAUUUGGUAUUUUGGUUGGAUCAAACCAACGAUAUUUCCAAACAGUUAUAUUAGUUAUAGUAGUAUUUCCAUAGUUACUCCUGUCUCUAUCAUCAUUUAUUUUUCCAACUUGACAUAGAUUUUACUAACCACGUGGUUAUUCCAUUGCCAAGGGUACUUGUGAAAUGUUUACAACCAUAUACAACAAUAAAUAUCAUGAUUUCUGUUUGAAACAAAUGGCAAAUAUUGGAAGUGAUUUUGCUGUUUGUAUAAUAAAAAUGUUUGCUGAUCUGUACAUGCAAUUACUCAACAUUGGAGGUUAUGUAGGAGUAAGAUGUUACCCACCAAAACGUGCAUCUAUUGCCUCUGGGAUGUCUGUCACCAACCUGUAGAAAAAUAACAAGAAGAAAGAAACAAGACCCUAGCUUUAGCUCUUUGAUUAGGCUCAGAAGUAAGAACUGCUUGUAAAGGACACAAAUAAUAAGAUACUAUGAUAAGUUAUAUGUUAAUUAAAGAAACUUCAUGUAUGGUCAAAUUGGAAAUCUUUACUCUUAUGAAAAACGCAAAUCUAUGUAAGGAGAUAUGAGUUGCAGAAACAUGGAUUAGAUUAGAUAAUCAAUAUAUAAUAUUUUAGAUAUAUUAUGGUACCACAUUGUUAGUAGUACACAGCAAGCAAGAAUUUGCCCGAUCAACUGAAAAAAAAAAUUCAGUGUUGCAAAUGACCAUCAUGUUACAUCAGAUCAUCCUUUGAAAGUUUAAUUAAGAUUAGUUACUCAUAAGUUUGUUUGGUGGUAAAGGGCACAGUUCUUCUAUAUUAAUAUGCCAUAGCAAGGCUCUUAAUACAUCUUCUAGAUUAGUUAGCUUCUAAUUAUAUUCAAAAUCAUAAACUUCCCAGUUACAAAUUUUGAUAUUAGCUCCAGCACUUGUUUAUAAACAUAAUAAGAAUGAUAUUACAAUUCUUAUUUAUAAUGAUAUUAGUAUUCAAAAUCCAUGAUACUAGUAUUCCCAGUUACAAAUUAUACAAAAUCCAUUAGUCUUGUUUAUAAACAUAAUAAGAAAAACAUAAAUUUCAAUUUAACACGCAUUAAUGUUAUUUACUUAUUUUAGCCAUAUGUGACAUUACCUGUAAGCAUUAGCUCCAGCACAUGUUUCUUUUUUAAGGUAUCUUUAAAUUCUAGCCAUUUUUUCCCUGUAACCGUAUAAUUGCAUGCAUGCAUGCUAUCUACAUGAAGUCCUUCAUGCUGAUAUCAUAAAUAAUGCCGUCAAUUAAUGUUUUUUCAUAGUUUAUCAUCUUAUGUUGAUAUGUUAAUUGAUUGUAGCACCCAAUAAUGAUGUCCUUAGAGUUACUCAGGAUCAUGACUGGUUUCUCCUUACUUUAUCUAUGAAGAAAUUAAUAGGCAAACUUCCAGAGUACCUUCUCCAUGAGAAGUUGGUAAGGUGCCUUCUUAAAUACUAGAAAGUAUAAACUAUUAAGAUAAUAUGAAAUAGUUUGAAGUAUUGGCAAUUUUAUUUUGAAGCUACAUAAUAGUGCCAAUUUAAGAACUAAUGAUUGAUGAUAAGAAAUGACAAUCUGAACAAAGAGACUUAGGUUGAGGGAAUUAUGGUGAUGAAAAGAAUUAAGUUAUCACAGAAAUUGUACUUUCUUACCCAAUAGCAUAUAGAACAAGAGUUCUUCAGCUGUUGAUGGUUGGAUAAGAAACACCCCCCUCCUUUUCGAGAGGGCUGCAUUCCAAUCCUGCAGGUUAUCUAGGUAAGGUGUUCUUGAACUAUAAACAUAACAAUAGUGUGGCAAGUAGCACUCAUUGGUUUCUUGCAAAAUGUGGCUUUGUUGAGUUUUUAGGAAGGCAUUAUGCAACUCUUUGCUUGUAUAAUAAAUUCAAUAAGCUCACCAAUGCAAAUAUUCCCUGUAUUCUGGUUUGCUUGGACUUGGCGCAUCAGGAUCCACCAUAACCUUAUAAAAGGAAAACCUUUUAUUUUAGCAUUUAGACAUAGAUAUCAAGGACUAGUUGCAUGCCUUAUAGAGGACCUAGGGCAUAGCUCAAUAAAGCAAACAGAAAAAAAGAGAGACAAAAAGGUAUUCUGGAGACCAUAAAAAAUAAAAACCAUAUAAGUUUUCACCCUCUCCAUGCUAAUUAUGUGAGGUUUUGUGAUAAAAUUAAAGUUGUAGAGUGCCUAUUAGUGGUUAGAGCAGCACUGUGCAGGGAAGUGGGAUCAGCUUAGUAUCUUACAGUCUUACUUUUCUACAGUGAGUUCAGGCUGGAUAUUUUAGUGCGUGAUAUUUCAUGGAUAAUUUGAAAUGUGUGGCAGUGUCUAUUGUUGUGGAAAGGAUGCUGAUAUGAGAAAGUAUGCCAAAUUACCAACUUUAAUACAGCAGAGAUUCAAUUUCUCACUUUAAGUAAAUCAGACAUGACAGGGCCUUAUCCUAUCCAAUAUUCCUGUACCACAGUGUACAAACAAGACAGGGGUGCACAAGUAUAUUCUAAAGUAGAUUGUACCAUAUGUGUACUUGAUCAUUACCAAAAGGUUACAAUAUGAUUACUUUUUUAGCAAAUACCAGCUGGCAUUAUGAUUUAGUUUUCCUGCCACUACAAUAUUCUGUGAAACCUAAUAAGCUAUAUCCCUCAUAUUUCUAUUAUCGACAGUACCUAUGGAUCUGUUGAAUAAUCUAUACUUGUGCAAGUUAGAUGGCCUUUUCUGGUGAAGCACUAAUUAGAUCUGUGCAUUAUUUCUUUAAAACGUAGGGUGCCUGGAGUAACAAACAUGUUUCAUUAAUUAGUGUGCAUAUGCAUGAGUCACUCCAUAAGAAAUUAUCUAAUAUUCUAGAAAAUAAAUAUUACCUCUUCUGACACGAGAGAAAUCUUUUUAACUUGAAGCUUUGUUUGGAUCAAAAGUCAUUUUCACCUUACCUAACAGAAUGGUUCAAAAGACCUGUACACUACUCUGAUCAUGAUCCUACAAAUUAUGACACUUACAAGUGUGUAGAGCUUCGUUUGGUCACGACCUUCAAUCUCAACAUGUGGUGCAGUGAAAACAGCAGAUGAUCGUACUCCAGUUCCAUUUGUAAUCUCCUUCUCACCAUAAUUAAUCCUCAUUGCAGCUGACUUUAUGAAAGGAUCCAACACAUCGCCAAUUACCUGGCUCAAUGCCAAAGGAUCCCUACCUCGUGACAUAAUUUUAUUGAUCCUUGGUGAGAAGGGAAUUGGGAAAUAUUCAAUAAGGUGGAAGGGCUAGCUAACAAAUUUUCUGUGGGAAAGAACAGAGCGGUUCGAUGUAAAUUUAUAUUAGGAGUGAAGCAUCCACUUUAUGUUCACAACAUUCCAUUGAGCACUAUGAGCAAAUGGAAUCUUGCUUUUUAUAUAAUAUUUAUUUCCCUUAUAGUUGCUUCUGUAUUGCAUAUGGUCUUUGUGAUUGAUAUCUAUGGUCAGUUUUUCAUGCAUAUAUUCCCCAAAGAUCUGGAGGUAUGUUUAAAGCUCCAAGAGUUAGCCUCCCCUGCAUGGCGCCUUGCCUGGGCUAGGCCAAAGGUUUACGAUGAGUCAUUUCGUGUUCAAUGAUACUUCUCUGAGUGGUGAGCACUCAGCUGGAGAGAGAAUCUUUUGAUCGACAUCACAAUGCAAGAGUAUGAAACCUGGGGAGGUAGAGGCAGGUCAUUAGCAAUCUUCUUUCUUCUUUUAUUUGCUUUUCCUUGACUGUAACGGGAGUAUCUAGUACUUCAUCCUUCAUCCUUUGGUGAAAAACUGCUAUCUGGACCUGUUCUACAUGACCCUUGCAUACUUAACUAAAUAUAAUGAUAAAGGCCCUACAAAAUUUUCAAUAAAAUUUUAGCAAUUGCUCGUCAAGUUUCUCAUAUAAAUGAGAUAAAUACGAUUCUUACAAGAGUCUCUUUCGACAAAAUUGUAACAUUUUUCAGUGCAGAGGAAAAAGAUUAAUGCAUGUCUGGGAACAAGUUAUUCACUGUGGACACUUCUGUUACAGGCAUGCAGGUACAACUUUCCUUGUCCACUAAAUACAGCUGUACAGGAUCAUUCGGACCAAACAGGAACAGGAAAAGCAUCUGCCUUGUUCGAGUUGCAGCAUCAUUGUCUUGAUAUCAUGAGAAUGAGGCCACAUUCCAUUUUCCUUGCAGCACUUAAAAUCCAGUUGCACACAGAAGUUUCACCUUUGAUGCUACAAACGGGCAUUGGACUUUUCGAAGGACGGAGGAUGGAUACCAUCACACUAUGGGGUUGUGUUCAAGAACACCACAUGUAGCUGCCUUUGCUCUCCAUUCAAAAACAUCACAUGCGACUGCCUCGGCUCUCCACAUAAACAUCAAUGUCGAGAAUGCCAUGAAGAAUCCAUGCAGAUUUUAAUAUUUUUCAGCUGGGAAUACAGUGAGGCAAGGAAUAUACUCGACAUCCAAAAAUCUUGUUGGAAUAAAGGUACAGUCUUCAGAUCAGAUGAGCAUCUCCACCAGGGCACUGCAUGGCUGCAACCAGAAAAGCUGAAAGAUUAACUUUGAAUUGUUGAAAGCUCUUGCAUGUCAGUCACAAAAGGGGGGAAAAGGCACCAAGGAAUUUCCCCGCACUGCAAACAACCUACACCCAGCUUCUGUGGAUGAACUCGUGCCAUGCCAGUAUGCCACCGUCCCUGCUGCCUCAGGCCCCUCUAGAUUGUUCGUGGACCAGCUGGAAACUGUGCUAAAGCUGAUCUGAUCUCCAGGUGAGAGCUGAAUCUAUUCUGAUGGGGAGCAAUCUUAUCAUUUUGACAGCAUGCAUCUGAAGGUGCUAGUGGAUAAGUGGAAGCUUACUGAAUACUCUUUUCUGCAAAAUUGACCAGUGAUGAAUCUCUUAUAACAGGUGAUACAUGACAAGCUUCGUUGCUGCAGAAGAAUGCAGGGUCAGGUGACCUGGAAAGAUUGAUGAGAAGAAUUUGAGAAUCUUGUACAGCAAAUUGGAUGGAGAUAAGGUGAAUGGCUGCGGUCCACUUCAAAGGUGAACUGGGACCAGCCGUGCAUACAGAAACAACGUCUCUCAUUUGUCCCGGUGCCUGCAUAAACAAUGUGAGCGUGAACGUCAAAGUGAAGCUCAACACAGUUCUUCUGAUACUCUCUCUUGUUGGUCCAUAUUAUAAGGUGUUCUGUUUUUCAUAAGUCAAACUUCUCCAACAUUGAUCAAGUUUAUGAAAAAAACACAUCAAUCUACAACAUUAGAUUAGUUUAUUAAAUCCACCUUAAAAAGGUUUUGAUAGUGUAUUGGACGUAUGUAUUAUACUACCUAUGUUUUAGAUUAUAAGACGUUUUAACUUUGGUCAAAGUUAAAUUGUUUUAA